CGUGAGUCCACGAUGAGACUCCCGGACGAGCAGCGCCGUACCCGGACAGCGACAAGACGGCGUCUC
rnacentral:ncRNA from 1 species